rnacentral:rRNA from 1 species
AACUCGACUCCAUGAAGCUGGAUUCGCUAGUAAUCGCGCAUCAGCCAUGGCGCGGUGAAUACGUUCCCGGGCCUUGUACACACCGCCCCGUCAAGCCAUGGAAGCCGGGAGUGCCUGAAGUGUGCAACCGCAAGGAGCGCCCUAAGGUAAAACUGGUGACUGGGGCUAAGUCGUAACAAGGUAGC